GACGAACGCUGGCGGCGUGCUUAACACAUGCAAGUCGAACGGAAAGGCCCUGCUUUUGUGGGGUGCUCGAGUGGCGAACGGGUGAGUAACACGUGAGUAACCUGCCCUUGACUUUGGGAUAACUUCAGGAAACUGGGGCUAAUACCGGAUAGGAGCUCCUGCUGCAUGGUGGGGGUUGGAAAGUUUCGGCGGUUGGGGAUGGACUCGCGGCUUAUCAGCUUGUUGGUGGGGUAGUGGCUUACCAAGGCUUUGACGGGUAGCCGGCCUGAGAGGGUGACCGGGCACAUUGGGACUGAGAUACGGCCCAGACUCCUACGGGAGGCAGCAGUGGGGAAUAUUGCGCAAUGGGCGGAAGCCUGAUGCAGCAACGCCGCGUGCGGGAUGACGGCCUUCGGGUUGUAAACCGCUUUCGCCUGUGACGAAGCGUGAGUGACGGUAAUGGGUAAAGAAGCACCGGCUAACUACGUG
rnacentral:rRNA from 1 species